rnacentral:tRNA from 1 species
CCCCGGGUACGCAAAUUGGGAAAGCGAGCAGAUUUGGGUCUGCUGAUGGUGCUGGUUCGAAUCCAGCCCUGGGGACCA